UCUGCCGUGAAAGUCCGGGGCUCAACUCCGGAUCUGCGGUGGGUACGGGCAGACUAGAGUGAUGUAGGGGAGACUGGAAUUCCUGGUGUAGCGGUGAAAUGCGCAGAUAUCAGGAGGAACACCGAUGGCGAAGGCAGGUCUCUGGGCAUUAACUGACGCUGAGGAGCGAAAGCAUGGGGAGCGAACAGGAUUAGAUACCCUGGUAGUCCAUGCCGUAAACGUUGGGCACUAGGUGUGGGGGACAUUCCACGUUUUCCGCGCCGUAGCUAACGCAUUAAGUGCCCCGCCUGGGGAGUACGGCCGCAAGGCUAAAACUCAAAGGAAUUGACGGGGGCCCGCACAAGCGGCGGAGCAUGCGGAUUAAUUCGAUGCAACGCGAAGAACCUUACCAAGGCUUGACAUGAACCGGUAACGCCUGGAGACAGGUGCCCCGCUUGCGGUCGGUUUACAGGUGGUGCAUGGUUGUCGUCAGCUCGUGUCGUGAGAUGUUGGGUUAAGUCCCGCAACGAGCGCAACCCUCGUUCUAUGUUGCCAGCACGUGAUGGUGGGGACUCAUAGGAGACUGCCGGGGUCAACUCGGAGGAAGGUGGGGACGACGUCAAAUCAUCAUGCCCCUUAUGUCUUGGGCUUCACGCAUG
rnacentral:rRNA from 1 species